CACAAGGGAAUGAUUCCUUUCUAACCAUUACCUCUUCUGUUCAUUUUCAAGCCCUUGCCUCUUUCCAUUUCUCUAGGUCCAUCCGGCUUUGAUCAAUCAUGUGAUCAUUUCUUUCUAGUUGGUUUUUGUAGCACCUCAGAACACCCUCCAUCCUUUCACCAAAACUGCAGUGUAAUAGGGUCUAGAUCAAGAUAUUGUGAGCCACAGUGUCUAGAUGGUGGCAACAUGAAUGGUGACAAUCUAUUCUGCAUGUGCAGCUGAAGUUCUCACCAGGAGAGAAAGUAGUAUGGCCUUGAAGGAUACGUCUCCUGAAGACUUCAAGAAAGAGAAAGUGGAGGGGGGAAGCGGUGAGAGAGAGAAGAGAAUAUCUGGAUUCUGACACUGUUUUCAGAAGAGGAGGGAACGAGCCCAGGGGAAGCUGUGGUGUCUGCUACACGAGUGCUGGCUGCCCACCCUCCAGGGCUUCCAUCAACAUUUCUUGAAGAGAACGUCUGUCAUUAAAUUCCUUCAACUUCUGUAUGUCUAAAAAGAUUCGUGCCUUCUAAGCAUUUCAGAUGAAUGGGAUUCUGCAACAUAGUCUUUUGCAUCUGCCUUGCCUUAUAUAACAUAAUGUUUCUGUGGUUCGUCCAUAUUGUAGUAAAUUGCUGCAAGUUUGAUCACUGGGUUAAGAUGGUGACACAUGGAUCUCUCUAUUAUCAAGGCAUCUUUGUGAAAAUGAACAAAAGAAAGAAAAAAAAAAAACAAAAAAACACAAGUCUUCAUAGGCACAUUUGGAUCCAAAUGGAUAUGUAAAGAGGAACUGAGCGGGAAGGGAACUGUCUAACACCAAAGGCCAGAGCAAGCUCAACAUCACCUCUACCCAGCCACCUCCUAAGACAUAAUUCACUAUACACUCUCAUGUUUUCUCAACCAAAAUGCCAUAUCUAAUUGCCAUAUAUAAGUGGAGUGGAAUGCACAAAUCCUUUGUGAUAGCAGAAACUGAUUAUAUCUGCUUUGGUAUUAGUGUUCAGAGUUACAUUGAAAUAAUACAGUUUUAUUAAAAUUUCCACCUAUUCAGCAGUAUGAGAUUUACUAAUAAAAUAUCUGAUUUGAGUCUAAUAUAUGAGGAAACUAUGUAAUUAAGAAUUUGUUUUUGAAGUUCUGAUGAAUUUCCUGACCAUGGAUGUUUUCACAUGACAGAAAUUAGCUAUAACUUUGAAAUGACCACUAAGCUAUCACUGUUUCAAAAAUAACAACAAAUGCCACCGCCCUCUGUAUACAGAAGUGGCUUGCUUUCCUGUAGGGGUGUAUGUCAGAAGUUCAAGGGAAGUAUUCUGCAGACACUUUCCACUGAAGUUUUGGGGUAGAAAUAGGGGAGGUAGUGAGCUGAUUGUUCCUGUGUAUAAAAAAAAAAAAAAAGAAAGAAAGAAA
ensembl:lncRNA